ACGCCGACUAAUCCCCGAUGGGAUAUUGUGCCGCAUGGCACGAUAUUGAAAGUUACGGCGGCGACGGAUUGGCUCGCGUCCGAUUAGCUUGUUGGUGGGGUAACGGCCCACCAAGGCUACGAUCGGUAGGGGUUCUGAGAGGAAGGCCCCCCACAAUGGGACUGAGACACGGCCCAUACUCCUACGGGAGGCAGCAGUGAGGAAUAUUGGUCAAUGGGCGGAAGCCUGAACCAGCCAUGCCGCGUGCGGGAAGGAGGCCCUAUGGGCUGUGAACCGCUUUUGCCUGGGGGCAAUAAGGGCGUCGCGCACGCCCGAUGAGAGUACC
rnacentral:rRNA from 1 species